CCUACGGGGGGCAGCAGUGGGGAAUAUUGCACAAUGGGGGAAACCCUGAUGCAGCGACGCCGCGUGAGUGAAGAAGUAAUUCGUUAUGUAAAGCUCUAUCAGCAGGGAAGAAAAUAACGGUACCUGAGUAAGAAGCCCCGGCGACAUACGUGCCAGCAGCCGCGGUCAUACGUAGGAGCGGAGCAUUAUCCGGAGUGACUGGGUGUAAAGAGUUGCGUAGGGGGCAUAAUAAGUAGCUAGGGAAAUCUGGUGGCUCAACCAUUCAGACUAUUAGCUAAACUGUUAUGCUCGAGACCGUUAGGGGUAACUGGAAUUUCGAGUGUAGGAGUGAAAUGCGUAGAUAUUAGAAGGAACACCAAUGGCGUAGGCAGGUUGCUGGGACGGUUCUGACACUAAGGCACGAAAGCGUAGGGAGCAAACGGGAUUAGAUACCCUUGUAGUC
rnacentral:rRNA from 1 species